UUAGGAAUCUUGCGCAAUGGGGGCAACCCUGACGCAGCGACACAGCGUGGAGGAUGAAGGUCUUCGGAUUGUAAACUCCUUUUAUGAGGGACGAAUAGAUGACGGUACCUCAUGAAUAAGUACCUGCUAACUACGUGCCAGAAGCAUCGGUGAUGCGUAGGGUACGAACGUUAUCCGGAGUCAUUGGGCGUAAAGAGAAGCGUAGGCGGUUUAGUAAGUCUUUGGUUAAAAACCACGGCUCAACCGUGGGGAAGCUUUGGAUACUGCUAGACUUGAGAUAUAGAGGGGUAAAUGGAAUUCCGAGUGGAGUGGUGAAAUACGUUGAUAUUCGGAGGAACAUCAGAGGCGAAGGCGAUUUACUGGCUAUAUUCUGACGCUAAGGCUCGAAAGCGUGGGUAGCAAAACGG
rnacentral:rRNA from 1 species